UACGGGGGGGGCAAGCGUUGUUCGGAAUUACUGGGCGUAAAGGGCUCGUAGGCGGCCAACUAAGUCAGACGUGAAAUCCCUCGGCUUAACCGGGGAACUGCAUCUGAUACUGGAUGGCUUGAGUUCGGGAGAGGGAUGCGGAAUUCCAGGUGUAGCGGUGAAAUGCGUAGAUAUCUGGAGGAACACCGGUGGCGAAGGCGGCAUCCUGGACCGGUAUUGACACUGAGGCGCGAAAGCCAGGGGAGCAAACGGG
rnacentral:rRNA from 1 species